rnacentral:rRNA from 1 species
GAUGAACGCUGGCGGCGUGCCUAAUACAUGCAAGUCGAGCGAACGGAUGAGGAGCUUGCUUCUCUGACGUUAGCGGCGGACGGGUGAGUAACACGUGGAUAACCUACCUAUAAGACUGGGAUAACUUCGGGAAACCGGAGCUAAUACCGGAUAAUAUAUUGAACCGCAUGGUUCAAUAGUGAAAGACGGUCUUGCUGUCACUUAUAGAUGGAUCCGCGCUGCAUUAGCUAGUUGGUAAGGUAACGGCUUACCAAGGCAACGAUGCAUAGCCGACCUGAGAGGGUGAUCGGCCACACUGGAACUGAGACACGGUCCAGACUCCUACGGGAGGCAGCAGUAGGGAAUCUUCCGCAAUGGGCGAAAGCCUGACGGAGCAACGCCGCGUGAGUGAUGAAGGUCUUCGGAUCGUAAAACUCUGUUAUUAGGGAAGAACAUAUGUGUAAGUAACUGUGCACGUCUUGACGGUACCUAAUCAGAAAGCCACGGCUAACUACGUG